UACAGAGGGGGCGAGCGUUGUUCGGAUUUACUGGGCGUAAAGGGCGCGUAGGCGGCCAGCACAAGUCAGUUGUGAAAUCUCCGAGCUUAACUCGGAAAGGUCAACUGAUACUGUGCGGCUAGAGUGCGGAAGGGGCAACUGGAAUUCUUGGUGUAGCGGUGAAAUGCGUAGAUAUCAAGAGGAACACCUGCGGCGAAGGCGGGUUGCUGGGCCGACACUGACGCUGAUGCGCGAAAGCUAGGGGAGCGAACGGG
rnacentral:rRNA from 1 species